CUCGUAGGUGGUCAACUAAGUCGGACGUGAAAUCCCUCGGCUUAACCGGGGAACUGCGUCCGAUACUGGAUGACUUGAGUUCGGGAGAGGGAUGCGGAAUUCCAGGUGUAGCGGUGAAAUGCGUAGAUAUCUGGAGGAACACCGGUGGCGAAGGCGGCAUCCUGGACCGACACUGACGCUGAGGAGCGAAAGCCAGGGGAGCAAACG
rnacentral:rRNA from 1 species